rnacentral:rRNA from 1 species
UACAGAGGGUGCGAGCGUUGUUCGGAAUUAUUGGGCGUAAAGCGCUUGUAGGCGGCACGUCAAGUCGCGUGUGAAAUCCCCCAGGCUUAACCUGGGAAGUGCGCGCGAAACUGACGAGCUUGAGUGCCGGAGAGGGUCGCGGAAUUCCCGGUGUAGAGGUGAAAUUCGUAGAUAUCGGGAGGAACACCAGUGGCGAAGGCGGCGACCUGGACGGUACUGGACGCUGAGGCG